rnacentral:rRNA from 1 species
AGCGAACGCUGGCGGCAGGCUUAACACAUGCAAGUCGAACGGGCACUUCGGUGCUAGUGGCAGACGGGUGAGUAACACGUGGGAACGUACCUUUCGGUUCGGAAUAAUCCAGGGAAACUUGGACUAAUACCGGAUACGCCUCGGGAAUGAGAUUAUCGCCGAUAGAUCGGCCCGCGUCUGAUUAGCUAGUUGGUGAGGUAAUGGCUCACCAAGGCGACGAUCAGUAGCUGGUCUGAGAGGAUGAUCAGCCACAUUGGGACUGAGACACGGCCCAAACUCCUACGGGAGGCAGCAGUGGGGAAUAUUGACAAUGGGCGAAAGCCUGAUCCAGCCAUGCCGCGUGAGUGAUGAAGGCCUUAGGGUUGUAAAGCUCUUUUGUCCGGGAAGANAAUGACUGUACCGGAAGAAUAAGCCCCGGCUAACUUCGUGCCAGCAGCCGCGGUAAUACGAAGGGGGCUAGCGUUGCUCGGAAUCACUGGGCGUAAAGGGCGCGUAGGCGGACUCUUAAGUCGGGGUGAAAGCCCAGGGCUCAACCUGGAAUUGCCUUCGAUACUGAGAGUCUUGAGUUCGGAAGAGGUUGGUGGAACUGCGAGUGUAGAGGUGAAAUUCGUAGAUAUUCGCAAGAACACCAGUGGCGAAGGCGGCCAACUGGUCCGAUACUGACGCUGAGGCGCGAAAGCGUGGGGA